rnacentral:lncRNA from 1 species
CUCCAACUCUCGAAGCUCUCAAUAGAAACUGGCCUUGCGCUCUCACAGAACUCUAAAGAAGGAGCUGCUUGUCUCUGCUACUGAAAGGAAGUUCUUCCUUGACUCUAGCUGUUGCUCCCGGAGUUAUGUUGGUGACCACAUAAACACUUGGAUCCUUGCUGGCUUUGUGGAGGUCACAGCCUAAACUGGACAUGUGGAUGUUGAGUGACAGAGGACAGAUGGAUCAAAGAAACUCCAACCCCGCCGGACCAAGACACCAGCCCACGAGUGGACCCUGAAGAACUGUCAUCAGCCACAAGGUUAGAGCAGCUCCCUGGAGAAGACCAACAACAAGAGCGAAAGGUGCUGGGCACUCGCCUGGGGAGAAGCGACUCAUGCAGUGGGAUGCUCUACCUGGUCCGGUCUGACCCUGGGGCAGGUCACGUGCUCAGCAAGGUGUCCCGGGUCUUGAUGGUGCAGCGGAGGGGAUGGGGGGAGGCUAGAGCACCUGCCUGCUCGGGCCAUCCAAAGACUUGCCCCCACCUCCUCUGCCUCUCCCACUUGCCUUUACUGUGAAAUGGACAGAGGCUGCCCUCAUCCCUUCCUGCGGCUCCACUUCCACCAUGCAUUAAACCCUUUAAUGCAUGCCUGCAUCAGCCCCCGAAGGGCCACCAGAGUCUCUUACUCCAGAGACAGAUCCAGUCCUCGACUCCCACAGCUGCUGUGGAUGGAGAAAAUGAGAUGAGACCAGAAGAAAUGCUCCCAUCUCCUCUCAUGAGAGCACUGCAGAUCCCCAGCCCCUUCCCAGGAUCACGCCUCCCAGGCUGACGUGAAGAACCUGAGAAGGGAAGGGUCAUUAGGCCGAAGACUGGGGCCGGGAGCAGCA